CAUUAUUGUACAACUGAGGUGCAAAGGCUGUCGCUGACCCUCUAAAGGUCGUGCACGCCCGAGCGCUCUCACACAAUCCAUCUCACCUUUGUGCAUCACCGCGUGGGUCCCCUUUGCGGGAGGGCUUGCGUUUUCACAUAAAACUCGAUACAGUGUAGAAUGUUUCUUUUGCGGUCACACGCAAUCAAUACAACUUUCAACAACGGAUCUCUUGGCUCUCGCAUCGAUGAAGAACGCAGCGAAAUGCGAUACGUAAUGUGAAUUGCAGAAUUCAGUGAAUCAUCGAAUCUUUGAACGCACCUUGCGCCCCUUGGCAUUCCGAGGGGCACACCCGUUUGAGUGUCGUGAAAUCUUCAAAACCCUUUUUUCUUUGAACCAUUGUGGUCGGGAAAAGGACUUUUGGACUUGGAGGUUU
rnacentral:misc_RNA from 1 species